rnacentral:tRNA from 1 species
GGUGAGGUGUCCGAGUGGCUGAAGGAGCACGCCUGGAAAGUGUGUAUACGGCAACGUAUCGGGGGUUCGGAAUCCCCCCCUCACCGCCA